rnacentral:lncRNA from 1 species
CGGAAGAAGGGGACACAGACCUGCGUCCAAGCUGUGCCACCUGAGACGUGGGCGGUCCCAGUGACCGGGAGCCGGAGCUCGAACGGGACGGGCGAACAGAAGCGCGGAGGGCUUCGCAGCGUCGGCGUCUGUGCGUGGGCCAAACAUCAGGGCCUCGACCAGGGAUACAAGGGCAACCGCUAACUAGAUUCCUGAUUCCUGAUGGCUGGCGGCGGCUGACACCAAAGUGCCCGUGGGAGAGCAAGAUCGCGAGGCACGAGCUGUGAGGGCACACCGCCUCUCUUGGUCCUCCGAAGCAAAGACACUGAUGCUCCCAGAAGCUGCGGAAGGAC